GGUAGACAGAUGACUGGUAGGGGUGGGAGGGAAGGAGGGGUCGAGAGAGGGAGAGAGAGAGAGAGACUGAAAGAUUGAUCAGGUGGAAAGAAACCUGCCAUGUGAUUUUUCCAAAUCCCUUGACCCCUCUGGGUCUCAGUUUCUUUAUCUGUAAACACAAAGCAUUGACUUUGACACCCCCGCUCCCCCGCCUUAAAUGAUUUGAGCUCUGAUUCCUCUGGUAGAGAAAAGAUAGUGUGAGGGUCAUGCUGCCAGGAAGAGAAAAUACUACAUCUCUCUCUAAUAGAGCUCAAAGUCUCAGAAAAGCAGUUUUCAAUUCUUAAAGUAAUAACUGAACAAACUUCCAUAUGGAACUCACUGUUCUAAUCUCUCAUUUAAUCCUCCUAGAAUCCCCACAAGCGAGGUGUAGUUACUGGCUUCAUGUUGGAGGAAAAAGUUUGCUAACCCCUGAUGUCAAGGAAGGAACAUGUCGUUCUAAGCCUCGGAUCACACAACUUGGAAUCCAUACUUGUUUUUAUAAUGUACAUUUCAGAGUUUUAAUUUCUCAUCUGAGAAAUGGGAGACCGUAUUCCUGGGGCCAACUGGCCACUUAGCUCACUAAUUACGAUUAUGACACUGACUAAAAUCAUGAGUGUGGAAAUGCGUGGGAAGCUGUAAAAAGUUAUGAAGAAUGCUCAAUAUCAUUUGGACUGUUUUCAAAGCAUUUGACAAAAGAGAGACAGCCAAGAAAGUUGUUUUUUUCCUCAAUAGAGGUAAAGAGGAAAUAAAUAAUAAUGAUUGCCAAAGGGUACAUUAGCCUUUUUAUUUGUCUCAGUUAAUGUAUAGUUUGGAGGUGAUGUCAGCUGGGUUACAAAGACUAAAGGAAAAGAAGUAAAAUCCACAGCCACCCCGAGGAUGGGCUGAAGAAAUGUGUUAGGGGUGACGUACAAGCGGGUACUGUGGCGGUUAGAGGGGAGGUGGGCACAGGUCGGAGGGGAUGCCUAUCUUCCUGGGAGCUGCAGAGCGGGACUGGUGGGGGGCAAGAAUGGGAAGACAAAUUCAGGGAAUACUGCAUUUAUAACAACAAUUAUGCAUUGUUCAUCUGAAAUGCAAACCUAGCCGGGCAUUUUAUAUUUUUAUUUGAGAAAUCUGACAACUCUCCCCAUCCUGUGUGGAUCUUGGGGGUAGCCAAUCAUUGGACCCCCCACCCCUGGCCACAAAGCUUGUCUAGAUCCUAAGUCCUGAAACUCUGAAUGUGAAGCAAAGAUAAAUAAGGACAAAAGAUAGUUGGAGCUGAUUACCUGACGACAGUGUUCUGAAAAGACCUCAGAGCUCCCCGGUUCUGUCGUUUCCUAGGCCUGUGGUCCAGCCUUGUCUUUAACUCUGUCAACUUUGCCAUCAUUUUCAAACUAGCCUUUUCUGUUCCUUAAACCAGUGAGAGUUGGCUUCUGUUGUUUUCUGUCAAAGAGCCCUAGGC
rnacentral:lncRNA from 1 species